rnacentral:sRNA from 1 species
AACCAUACCUGUCCGGCUUCUUUCUUUGC